CGGUGUACGUCUACUAGUAAGUAGUUUGUACGUCUCGGCUACGAGACGACGCUGGCGGCGUGCUUAACACAUGCAAGUCGAACGGAGCACCCUGAAGGAGUUUUCGGACAACGGAUGGGAAUGCUUAGUGGCGGACUGGUGAGUAACGCGUUGAGGAACCUGCCCUUCACGAGGGGGACAACAGUUGGAAACGACUGCUAAUACCGCAUGAUACAUUUGAAUCGCAUGGUUUGAAUGUCAAAGAUUUAUCGCUGAAGGAUGGCCUCGCGUCUGAUUAGCUAGUUGUGGGGUAACGGCCCACCAAGGCGACGAUCAGUAGCCGGACUGAGAGGUUGGCCGGCCACAUUGGGACUGAGAUACGGCCCAGACUCCUACGGGAGGCAGCAGUGGGGAAUAUUGGGCAAUGGACGCAAGUCUGACCCAGCAACGCCGCGUGAAGGAAGAAGGCUUUCGGGUUGUAAACUUCUUUUAAGGGGGAAGAGCAGAAGACGGUACCCCCUUGAAUAAGCCACGGCUAACUACGUG
rnacentral:rRNA from 1 species